UACGGAGGAUCCAAACGUUAUCCGGAUUUAUUGGGUUUAAAGGGUGCGUAGGUGGCUUAUUAAGUCAGGGGUGAAAGACGGUAGCUUAACUAUCGCAGUGCCUUUGAUACUGAUGAGCUUGAAUGAACUAGAGGUAGGCGGAAUGUGACAAGUAGCGGUGAAAUGCAUAGAUAUGUCACAGAACACCAAUUGCGAAGGCAGCUUACUAUGGUUAGAUUGACACUGAGGCACGAAAGCGUGGGGAUCAAACAGG
rnacentral:rRNA from 1 species